GUGCUCACUUCAGCAACACAAAUGCUAAAGUCGGAACAAUACAGAGAAGUUUCCCAUGGCCCCUGCACAAGGAUGAUACGUUAACUCAUCCAAAGUCUUCAAAGUGUC